AUCAAAAUUCAAAAUAGGGUGAAAUUCUUGUUCUGAAUAAGAGGUUACAGUGACAUGGUUUCCGUGGAUAUGAGUUCAGAAAUACGGUGCAUACUUCUUAUAAUACCAAUUAUGGGUUUCUGGCUCAAAUAGGAAAUAUAUUAACAGAGUUUCGUUGUCCCUAAAUUUAGCUCCAUUAAAACACAAACGACUUGGGUUCCAUUGUGUCAUUGUGUUCUUCACAGCUAGUGCAAUCACCCUUCCUUCAUCAGAUAUUUCAAGAUAAGCUCUCUAUGUAGUAUGUAUUCAGUUACUGAGAGUUCUUAUCAUUGUAUUCAGAUAUUUGUGAGGUGAUUGAUAAACAGUAUGUUAUUUGUCUUUGGGUCAGUCUUGUGUUAGGUCAAUUAGCAGCACCAUGAAUGAAGGAUUAAGGUCUUAUAAUCUAUUGAAUGUCCUUUCCCAAGGUUAUUAUAUACUUUCUUUAGAUAUACAAUGUCAUUUCUUGGCUAGAACAAUUAGCAGGCCAAUGGAGGAAGCAUUGAAGGUCUUAUAAUGUUUAUGGAUUACAGAUUUAAAAAUCAUUUAUAUGGGCGUUGCAUUUCAAGGUUACUGUGUUCUUCAAGGUUUCUUGACCGCCAUUUUCCCAUAGAGGGAGAUUGAAUUCUUGUUCUGAAAAAGAUAUGAGCUCAGAAACACAAGCAACUCGGGUUCCAUUAUAUCAUUUUCAUUAUUUUGUUCUUCACAGUUGGUGCAACCAUCCUUCAUCAGAUAUCUCAAGUUACGUUAGAGGAGGUGUUGCUGGACACAAAUUUAAGGAUUCCUUUGCGCUUAGCUGGACAUAAAGAUGAUAGAGCAUGACCAACAGGAAUGUGCUUAACAGAGGCAAGUGCAACAAAACCAGGAAAUUCAAGAUGUUGUCCUCUUACCUGAUGAGGUGUUACUGUUGGUGCUACUGUCUUCUCAAAGAUUCAGAUGCAAAGACAAGGAAUCUCUGCAAUCUUCUUUCGAAGACAGUCUCCAUACACAACGGAAGGGAAUUGAAUAUUUAGAUAGAGCCCAAGGAGCUGCGGUAAGAUGCCAGGCACCUGCACAAAAUGUCUAAUGGUCUGCAAAAUCAAUGGCCCUAGUUGACAACAUUCAUAACCCAGUUUUAACAAAGACCAUGAAAGUGAAUGCUGAGUUUAUGAACUACUCCCAGCCCAUUUAAUCAGAUCACAUGGUAUAUGAGAAGUUCAUUACAGAUUAGGAUAUUUUACUGUUUGCCAAAGGUAUCAACUAUAAACAAGGACUAAAUGUUGCAACACAAGGCAUCCGUUGCAUCUUCAAUGGCACAAUAGAAACUACUGUAACUCUAUUUGCACUCUGCACAACAGAUCUUUAGGUGUGAGCAUCCAGAAGAAGAAGAAGUACUUCAUCAGUUGCUUGGAUACAAAAUCACUCUGUCAAUCCUUGGAAACCCUAUUCCUUCUGUUGUUUAUCAUGACAUCCCACCAUCUUAUCACAGACCUCUGCAGUAUGCUCAUGUUAGAACUGCAGAAAGCAAGAUGAAACUAUAGAAAGCAAGAUGAAACUAUGUGCCUCCAGCAUGGUGUUUAUCUCUGGAUCCGGCCCAUUCUCGCAGCGGAUCAACCUGGGUUCGCUCCAAUGGACGCAUAUGCUGCCAGUUCAGUCGUCAACUAUCCAGCAGCAGCAUCGCAGGGCCUGCAAUAUGUUAGGUUCAAGAUGGUUCCGUGUGGGGUAAAUUUACUGCAUACGCAUCCAUGAGCUUCAGAAAUGCUUACUCUUAUUAUCUCAGGAGGGCCUCUUCAAGUUGGUUUUGUUGAUACUCAAGGUCAAGCUUUCAUCGAUAUUUUGCCUCCUGGAGAUGUCACCAUAUUUUCGAGGGGGAUACUGCAUUUUGAGCUUAAUGUUGGAACUGAAGAAGCUAAUUAUAUCUCUGCUCUCAACAGUCAAAAUCCUGGUGUUGUGGUAGGGAAAACACAUUUAUUUACUUGUCAAUCUGCUAGAUACUCCAUUUUACUAGUAUCAUAAUAGUUUACUGUUGAUCAUGGCAAACAAGCAGCGUGUCAAUAUUGAAGCUUCCAUUGAGAAGUGUGGCAACAGCUUUCAACAUCACCCAACAAGCUGUAAAGAAAUUAGAUCCAACGAUAUAUGCCAGUGAUUCCCACUCCCCCACAAUAAAUGGCGUCCAUUGGGAACGAUAUGCACCGACCCGGCAUAAUGUGAGCAGAUAUCCAUUGCCAUGGGCGAAGAAACAGGAAGCAGAGUUUUCACACUGUGCUUCCAUGGCCAGGGAAAAGUUCCAAUGGAUGAUGUAUACCAAUGUGGGUGAGUUUGUAUUCUCUGAUUCUUGGUUGAAUGAGCAGGUGGGUCCUGAGGACAAGGGCUUUCAGGAAGUAAAACCUAGCUGCAAGGAUCUUACUUCAGGGGCUCUCUUGAAAAUGGUUAUGAGUCUAAGUUCACAGAGGAACAGCCUUCAAGAAUUUCCGAAUCUCAUAUCGGGCAACUUUCCUUCAAGUGUAGGAAUUUUGGGCCAUCAAGGCUUACCGAACACCCUGAGAGAGAGGCAGUAGAAAAGGUUCAAGUCCAUACUUUUGUUGGAAGUUAGUGCUUCAGAACACUUGAAGUACUUGCAGUUAGUUGUUGAUCUAAUUUUGGUUAAUUUGCAGUUACGUUAGAGGAGGUGAUAUUGGAAACAAAUUUAAGAUUCUUUGUGUUUAACUGGAGGUUUGCAAGAAGGAUUUGGAAGAAAGACAAUAGAGUACAACCUACAGGCAUGUGCUUCGCAGAGGAAUCAUUUUCCAACCACUUAAUCUGACUGUGCUGCACAGCCAUGGAUUUUUAUUCAUCCAAGAUGUUGUCCUCUUACUUGAUGAAGUGUUACUAUUGGUCCCACUGUUUUUUCCAAGAUUCAGAUUUAGAGACAAAGAAUCUCUGGAAUGGUUCUUUCUCAAACAAUUUCUAUACACAACCGAAGGAUAUAGCCCAAUUUUCCCACUGCCUUUUCAAAGCAUUUUUGCCUUUGUAUUGUUUGUGUUUUUGAUUUUUUGUUUAUUGGCUUCUUUGGGUUUGUUCUUGGUUUCUGAUGUGAUUCUUAUCUUUUUCUUUUUAUUAUCAAAUCCAAAAUCCAAUUUUAAUUUCAACUCAGCCCAUCCCUUCUUAUCACCUUGAGAAUCUUUCUUAGCAUCUUAUUUCAAAAUAUUUUUUUUGAUUGUUAUCCGUAGUUUCUCUUUCUCUGUAUUUAUUUUUUCAUAAUUUCUUUUACGAUGAUAAAGAUUCCUAAAGUCUCCAACUAGAAUUCAUUUAUAUUUUUUGCAAGUUUAAAACCCUGUCAAUGUUUUUUUCGUAGUUCCUGCUCUUCUUGUUUUUCUUUUUCUUUUCUUCGUUUUUCAGCUUGUCGAGCAGCCUAUCUUUCAAUCUGUCUAGCUUUUAUCGAUUUUUGUGCUCUUGGAACCUUUUCUUUAGUUUUUGCACUCUUUCUAAGUGUUUCUGCUAAUUUUCUACCUUGAAUGCCUUUUCCAGGUUCUUAACUUCCUUUGGAGUAGUUGCGGAUUCUAAUUUUUGUAAUCUCUGUUCUUUCGUCUUUUGUCUUUCUUGUUUUCGUUGUCUCCUUUCCUCUUUGAUUUUUCGAAAUUCUGAGAGUUUGCUUCUUCUUUGGAUGUUCAAUUUCCUUCAGUUUGUAUAAAAACUGUUUGAGAAAAAACAUUGCAGAGAUUCUUUGUCUUCAAAUCUGAAUUUUGGAGAAAGCGGUGGGACCAAUAGUGACACUUCACCAGGCAAGAGGACAACAUCUUGGAUGAAUUAAAAUCCAUGGCUUUGCUUCAUAGUCAGAUUCAGGGAUUGGAAAUGAUUCCUAUGUGAAGUACUUGCUUGUAUGUUGUACUCCAUCAUCUUUCUUCCAAAUCCUUCUUGCAGACCUCUAGGUAAGCGCAAAGGAAUCCUUAAAUUUCUGUCUGAUAACAACUCCUCUAACGUAACUCUAACUUAACCAAUGACAAGUGAACAACUUACUCGGAAAAAUUAGAAUAGGGAAUGCCUAAAAUUCUCAGCUGCUGUCAUCUAUUGCAAGCACAAGAAGGUUAUCCAUUAUGGCUACAUAUUACAAGGACAGAAAUACUUCUGUGGCAGUACCAGCGUUUGAGGAUCCAUAUCAUCUUUGACUAAUACUUCUGUGGCAAGUUUCCUUCAAGUGUAGGAAUUUUGGGCCAUCAGGGCUCACUGAACACCCUGACAGAGGGGUAACCCAAAGGUACACUGCAGAGAGAGGCAGGAGAAAAGGUUCAACUCCAUAGUUUUGUUGGAAGCUGCCUCUACUUCAUUGUUUAAUGUAAUACACCGUUUCCAGCUGAAGAAGGGAUACAGGACAUUGUAUGUGCAGUCCUCCAUGGCAAUGAUAAAUCAUUAUAAAUAUUAGGCAUCUAUUGAGUUUAAGGUCAUGUUUAGGAGGCGAGUAUCUGCCUAUGUUAUGGAUUGGAGUGAGUCUAAAUAUUCUGCUUCUCAGGACAGAACACCUGGCCUUAGCAAUAAGGCCAUUCAGCCAGAUGAUUGGGAACAUAGAUUUUGUGAGGUGAUAGAUACUGCAUUGAAAGAUUUUGCAAUUAGGGUGUUUUGAAUCUUUAGAUUGAGUAAUUAGCGAACUUCCAAAUUAGAAUGGCAGUUAUAAAUCUAAUGUUUAAUGCUCAUAUACCUCAAAUUCUGUUUACUUGUAUAUAAUAACAAAUCGGUAUUUUAGGGGUGAUUCAUUGCCCCAGGUUUAAACUUGACAAUUUGAACUUAAUGCCAAAGGCAAAGAGGGUAGAUCAAUCUGUUACAGCAUAAGCCGUAUUUGAAAUCAUAAAUUAAGUAAAAGAGCAUAACUGUACCAUGAUAUGU